UAUUGCAUUUUUUAUAGUCUAGUAAGUGAAAGCAUCAGUAUUUCUUUAAUUAUUAUUCCAUUUAAUUUAGUCCAAUUUAAUUUUAUUCUGAGAAUCAAGAUGGAAGUUUGACCAAAAUCAAGAUGAUAACGAGAUCAAUCUAGGCCAUUGGCAGCCUUAGAGCAUCAAUGUUUGUUUAUUUAAAUAAAAAGUAUAAGUUAAAAACCAUCUGUAACCAAAAAAUACACCUAUUUUCCUUUUAUUAUUGUUAUAAAAGGACUGAUAGGCUGCUGUGCUGCUACACCUAUAAUACUCAAACAUCGUAAGAGCAACCAGCCCACAUGGGAAUUUUGUUUCUUGUAUC
rnacentral:lncRNA from 1 species